AUAUAUUUCUCAACCUUUUUGCUAAGAUAAAUUGUAAUAUUUUUCCCAUCAGUUCAAUAUCUGGUAUGUGGACUAUAUGUUCAUUUUGAUAUUAUAUUUUUAUGGGUAUUUUUAUGGGGAGUGUCCACCACACUUGUUUAUUGUGCCCUCAUGUGUUGCCCACACGACAGUCAAGAACAAUCAGGGUUGGACAAAAUACUC
rfam:Zea mays cultivar B73 chromosome 7, whole genome shotgun sequence.